AUGUGGCACCGGGACACACGGAGCCAGGCCAGCAGGACACAGGUGAUGCCCAGCGCCCCGCCAAUCCCAAGCCCUCCCCAUCCCAGUCGGCAGCCUCACCAACCGCCCGGAGCGCCUGGGAGCCACCCCAGCUCCCCCCACCCCACACCCACAUGGAGCGCACGGGGUCUGCAGGCGUCCCCAGGUUCCCGGACACUCCACACUCCCACACUGGGCAGAGUGCCCCAUGCCCCGGGCAGGACAGUCGCAGUGGGUGUCCGCUCAUCCACAGCCGGCCUCCCCGCUUCUGUCCUGUCCCCUGGAGUCUUCCCUGGAGCCAAAAUGGACCUGCUCACACCCAGGUCAGACACCCCACUCCCUGAGUGCGCCUCACCCCGCGCCUACCCAGGGACUCAGAACCCUGCAGGGCUCCCAGGGCUCCCAGCUCUCCCAGGCGAAAUCCCAGUGCAAAGGCCUGACUGUGGCCCUCAGGCCCCACCCGAUCUGGUCCUGCCCCCUCUGGUCCUCCCGACUCCCUCCGUUCCCCACCCCACCCACCUCCUGUCUGCUCCUGGUGCCCCACCUCACAGUCCUCAUCCCGGCUGCUCCCACUGCCCCAACACUGUUCCUCGAUGCUUCCACCUUCUCCCUGGGGCCUCUCCUGAGCACCCCCACCCAACAGGCCCUUCCCUGCCUUGCCUUAUUUUUCUGCAUAGCACCUUUGAAGUACUCUGUAUUACAUUAUUGUUGGCCGCCCUCCUCCUCCACGAAAAAGGACCCCCCAGGAGAGAAGAGCAGUGGGCCUCGUCCCCUGCGCCUGGGAUGGCCUGGGGCGCGCAGCCCUCGCUCCACGCAAGCCAGCAGACCGGCCCGAGGCGGCCUUGCCCUCCAAACGUGCAUCACCCAGACCACAAACACCACGCUCGCGCUUUUAAAAACCUCUCCCACGUGCAUUUAAGAGGCGGCUUCCAGGGCUUCCUUUUGAGAAGCUCCCAGUGGCUUUUUAAAGGAGAGGAGAGAGCCGUUGCUCAUUGCUCCUCUGCACCGACAGAUGCUGGGGGGGGGGGGGGGGCGGGGGGGUGUCCCAGCCGUCGCUAUGUGCCCAUGCGCGUGUGCACCUGUGCCCGU
rnacentral:lncRNA from 1 species